CCUUCCUGCCGUGGCGAGUUGCGGACCGGCUUGCAGGCCACGGUAAAGAAGCUGCUAAAAGGUCGAUGCCGUUCCUCC
rnacentral:ncRNA from 2 species